rnacentral:misc_RNA from 1 species
UUCUUGGAUUGGACUUUCGGGCUGGAUAUUAAUGGAAUGAAGGCGAAAUUAUUACCAUUAUGCUCGCCUUGACUCUUAGAUUCCAGAAGCAUUAUUUUCGAUUCAAUUGAACCUCUCCCUGACCACUGAUUCUGGAUCAUCUAAUUUUGGAUCCCUCCGCAUGUACAUACUGUAUCAUACAUCUAGCGGAUUAUUCGCUUGGGAAAGAGAGCCAAAUGAUAGGGCCUCUUGAUGAACCGAUGGGAAAUAACCAAAAAAAACAACAAACCACACACACAAAAAAUACACCUUAAAUAUAAGCUGACUCAGCGGCUUUAUAUAUAUAUAUAUAUAU